rnacentral:rRNA from 1 species
UACAGAGGGUGCGGGCGUAAUCGGAAUUACUGGGCGUAAAGCGCGCGUAGGCGGCUUUGCAAGUCGGGUGUGAAAUCCCCAGGCUUAACCUGGGAACUGCAUUCGAGACUGCAUUGCUAGAGUAUGGGAGAGGGAAGUGGAAUUUCCGGUGUAGCGGUGAAAUGCGUAGAUAUCGGAAGGAACAUCAGUGGCGAAAGCGACUUCCUGGACCAAUACUGACGCUCAUGUGCGAAAGCGUGGGGAGCAAACAGG